rnacentral:pre_miRNA from 1 species
AUAUUUAGGGUCUGAUCCAAAGCUCAUUAAAGCCAAUGGGAAUCUUUCCAUUGAAUUCAGUGGGCUUUGGAUCAUCCCCUUGUGCAU